CCUACGGGAGGCAGCAGUGGGGAAUUUUGGACAAUGGGCGAAAGCCUGAUCCAGCAAUGCCGCGUGAGUGAAGAAGGCCUUCGGGUUGUAAAGCUCUUUUGUCAGGGAAGAAACGGUGCGGGCUAAUAUCCCGCACUAAUGACGGUACCUGAAGAAUAAGCACCGGCUAACUACGUGCCAGCAGCCGCGGUAAUACGUAGGGUGCAAGCGUUAAUCGGAAUUACUGGGCGUAAAGCGUGCGCAGGCGGUUUUGUAAGUUUGUCGUGAAAGCCCCGGGCUCAACCUGGGAAUUGCGGUGAAGACUGCAAGGCUUGAAUCUGGCAGAGGGGGGUAGAAUUCCACGUGUAGCAGUGAAAUGCGUAGAGAUGUGGAGGAACACCGAUGGCGAAGGCAGCCCCCUGGGUCAAGAUUGACGCUCAUGCACGAAAGCGUGGGGAGCAAACAGGAUUAGAUACCCUGGUAGUCCACGCCCUAAACGAUGUCUACUAGUUGUCGGGUUUUAAUAACUUGGUAACGCAGCUAACGCGUGAAGUAGACCGCCUGGGGAUACGGUCGCAAGNUUAAAACUCAAAGGAAUUGACGGCUGAGAGNGCGAGCGACGACGAGGGAGAGG
rnacentral:rRNA from 1 species